GCAGCGACCACAGUCUCUGUCAAGCUGCCUGGAUAUCUGUGUUUGCUUCGCAGUGGGCACACAAUAAUGGCAGGCACAGGGAGAGGGAAGAAAGAAGAUAGAGGCUCAAGAAGAGUCCCCAGCAUGUGAACAGACACAGGUCAGGCAAGUUGCCCAAAGACACGACCAGCCAGGGCUGAGAGCACCAAGGCCUGAAAGAGGAAGGACCAGCGGAUGCUAUGGGGUGGCGCCUCUUCUCGGUGCCCACAGAUUCCACCGAAGCUGGAGCUGCUUGACUCACAGAGGGUGCACGGCGCUCCACCAGCUGUCUCCUUCUCACCCAGCUCGGGAGUCCCUGGUUAACCCCUCCAUCCACCCUGCCUCUGACCAGGUUGCAGCAUCUGGCUCCCCACCUCCAGGGAAGGAAAACAGAAAAUACUGGGAAGUGACAGGGCCCUAAACCACUUGGAUGGAAAUAGAGUCACUGGGAGCCACAGGGAGAAGGACUGGGCCAAGAAGCUGAUUGCAUUGCUCCUGGCAACCACACGUCCCAG
rnacentral:lncRNA from 1 species